ACCCAGCUCGUCAUGCUAGAGUACUUUUUCAAUUUGCUCCCCAACAAGAAGGUGACAAUGCAUUCGUAUGUCAAUCCAUAUCAACGUUCAAUGCCAUUGACUGCGCCUACCAUGGUGACCACGGGUAAUGGGGAAUCAGUGUUCGAUUCUGUACAGGGACCCUGACAAAUGGCUACCACAUGCAAGGAAGGCAGCAGGCGCGCAAAUGACCCACUCCCGACGCGGGAAGUUAGUGACGU